UGCGAACAAACAGUCUCUACAGGUGAAACAUGACUCCCUGAAGCCACCUCCUGACUAUGCAACUCCUCACAUAGACGCAAGCUUCUUCCUAUCAAACUAUUUAGAACUCAAAUACAAAAGACGUCCUUUAUCGAUGUCUUCCACCUCCAAUAUUGACGCUCCAAUAUUGCUCUUCGUCAAUAACACCUAAAUUUUUGAAUUCACACCCAGACCCAACGUGAUCCAACCUACCACAAAAUAAACAGAAAAAAUGAAUUC
rnacentral:lncRNA from 1 species